rnacentral:rRNA from 1 species
GAUGAACGCUGGCGGCGUGCCUAAUACAUGCAAGUCGAGCGAACGGACGAGAAGCUUGCUUCUCUGAUGUUAGCGGCGGACGGGUGAGUAACACGUGGAUAACCUACCUAUAAGACUGGGAUAACUUCGGGAAACCGGAGCUAAUACCGGAUAAUAUUUUGAACCGCAUGGUUCAAAAGUGAAAGACGGUCUUGCUGUCACUUAUAGAUGGAUCCGCGCUGCAUUAGCUAGUUGGUAAGGUAACGGCUUACCAAGGCAACGAUGCAUAGCCGACCUGAGAGGGUGAUCGGCCACACUGGAACUGAGACACGGUCCGGACUCCUACGGGAGGCAGCAGUAGGGAAUCUUCCGCAAUGGGCGAAAGCCUGACGGAGCAACGCCGCGUGAGUGAUGAAGGUCUUCGGAUCGUAAAACUCUGUUAUUAGGGAAGAACAUAUGUGUAAGUAACUGUGCACAUCUUGACGGUACCUAAUCAGAAAGCCACGGCUAACUACGUGCCAGCAGCCGCGGUAAUACGUAGGUGGCAAGCGUUAUCCGGAAUUAUUGGGCGUAAAGCGCGCGUAGGCGGUUUUUUAAGUCUGAUGUGAAAGCCCACGGCUCAACCGUGGAGGGUCAUUGGAAACUGGAAAACUUGAGUGCAGAAGAGGAAAGUGGAAUUCCAUGUGUAGCGGUGAAAUGCGCAGAGAUAUGGAGGAACACCAGUGGCGAAGGCGACUUUCUGGUCUGUAACUGACGCUGAUGUGCGAAAGCGUGGGGAUCAAACAGGAUUAGAUACCCUGGUAGUCCACGCCGUAAACGAUGAGUGCUAAGUGUUAGGGGGUUUCCGCCCCUUAGUGCUGCAGCUAACGCAUUAAGCACUCCGCCUGGGGAGUACGACCGCAAGGUUGAAACUCAAAGGAAUUGACGGGGACCCGCACAAGCGGUGGAGCAUGUGGUUUAAUUCGAAGCAACGCGAAGAACCUUACCAAAUCUUGACAUCCUUUGACAACUCUAGAGAUAGAGCCUUCCCCUUCGGGGGACAAAGUGACAGGUGGUGCAUGGUUGUCGUCAGCUCGUGUCGUGAGAUGUUGGGUUAAGUCCCGCAACGAGCGCAACCCUUAAGCUUAGUUGCCAUCAUUAAGUUGGGCACUCUAAGUUGACUGCCGGUGACAAACCGGAGGAAGGUGGGGAUGACGUCAAAUCAUCAUGCCCCUUAUGAUUUGGGCUACACACGUGCUACAAUGGACAAUACAAAGGGCAGCGAAACCGCGAGGUCAAGCAAAUCCCAUAAAGUUGUUCUCAGUUCGGAUUGUAGUCUGCAACUCGACUACAUGAAGCUGGAAUCGCUAGUAAUCGUAGAUCAGCAUGCUACGGUGAAUACGUUCCCGGGUCU